GCCUGGCUGGUUCAGUUGGUAGAACACGUGACUCGUGAUCUCGGGGUUGUGAGUUUGAACCCCACGUUGGGCA